rnacentral:lncRNA from 1 species
UUUUAACUGGGAUCACUUGUGACCCCUCCGCCCAACUGAGAUUUUACGUGGAAUGGUAAUACUGUCUAGGAGAUCAUUGUGGUCUUUCCUGUGUAUUGCCGAAUCGGUUUACUUCACUAAUUAUUGGGUUCACUGUUAUAAGCACAAGUAAGCAUGUCGGCUAUGAGAUGUGAGAUUGAGAAAUUUGACGGGAGAAUGAAUUUUGCACUGUGGCAAGUGCAAGUCAAAGAUGUGUUGAUUCAGUCUGGACUGUAUAAGGUUUUGCAGGGUAAACCAGUCAGCGGAAAGAAUUCAGGAAAAGA